UACGUAGGGUCCGAGCGUUUGUCCGGAAUUAUUGGGCGUAAAGGGCUCGUAGGCGGUUCGUCACGUCGGGAGUGAAAACUCGGGGCUUAACCCCGAGCCUGCUUCCGAUACGGGCAGACUAGAGGUAGGCAGGGGAGAACGGAAUUCCUGGUGUAGCGGUGAAAUGCGCAGAUAUCAGGAGGAACACCAGUGGCGAAGGCGGCUCACUGGCUCGAUACUGACGCUGAGGUGCGAAAGCGUGGGGAGCAAACAGG
rnacentral:rRNA from 1 species